rnacentral:rRNA from 1 species
UACGAAGGGGGCUAGCGUUGUUCGGAAUUACUGGGCGUAAAGGGCUCGUAGGCGGCCAACUAAGUCAGACGUGAAAUCCCUCGGCUUAACCGGGGAACUGCGUCUGAUACUGGAUGGCUUGAAUCCGGGAGAGGGACGUGGAAUUCCAGGUGUAGCGGUGAAAUGCGUAGAUAUCUGGAGGAACACCGGUGGCGAAGGCGACGUCCUGGACCGGCAUUGACGCUGAGGCGCGAAAGCCAGGGGAGCAAACGGG